CGGCGUAGCUCAACUGGUAGAGCAACUGACUUGUAAUCAGUUGUUCCAACGUUCAUUACACCGAGACUAUACAUCUCUAGUCUGUCAUCCA
rnacentral:tRNA from 1 species